rnacentral:rRNA from 1 species
AACGAACGCUGGCGGCAGGCUUAACACAUGCAAGUCGAACGCCCCGCAAGGGGAGUGGCAGACGGGUGAGUAACGCGUGGGAACGUACCCUUUACUACGGAAUAACUCAGGGAAACUUGUGCUAAUACCGUAUGUGCCCUUCGGGGGAAAGAUUUAUCGGUAAAGGAUCGGCCCGCGUUGGAUUAGCUAGUUGGUGGGGUAAAGGCCUACUAAGGAGACGAUCCAUAGCUGGUCUGAGAGGAUGAUCAGCCACAUUGGGACUGGGACACGGCCCAAACUCCUACGGGAGGCAGCAGUAGGGAAUAUUGGACAAUGGGCGCAAGCCUGAUCCAGCCAUGCCGCGUGAGUGAUGAAGGCCCUAGGGUUGUAAAGCUCUUUCACCGGUGAAGAUAAUGACGGUACCCGGAGAAGAAGCCCCGGCUAACUUCGUGCCAGCAGCCGCCGUAA